rnacentral:snoRNA from 1 species
AUUUAAUAUACCGAGCCAACUAAAAUAAAUAUUAAUAGAACUAAAUCAAAAGAAAACA